UGGGGAAUCUUGGACAAUGGGGGCAACCCUGAUCCAGCGACGCCGCGUGGGUGAUGAAGGCCUUCGGGUUGUAAAGCCCUUUUCUCGGUGAGGAUGAUGACGGUAGCCGAGGAAUAAGCACCGGCUAACUCCGUGCCAGCAGCCGCGGUAAGACGGAGGGUGCUAGCGUUGUUCGGAAUUACUGGGCGUAAAGGGCGCGUAGGCGGCCUG
rnacentral:rRNA from 1 species